GGAGUUUGGACCGUGUCUCAGUUCCAAUGUGGCCGAUUACCCUCUCAGGUCGGCUACUGAUCGUUGACUUGGUGGGCCGUUACCUCACCAACUAUCUAAUCAGACGCAGGUGCAUCCCAUGCCGAUAAAUCUUUGGCGAUAAAGUCAUGCGGCUUCAUCGCUUUAUGUAGUAUUAAUCCCAGUUUCCCGAGGCUAUCCUUCUGCAUGGGGCAGCUUACCUACGCGUUACUCACCCGUCCGCCGCUGUCCUCUCCUUCAUUCGGCCGAAGCCUCAUUCCAAAGAUUCUCGCUCGACUUGCAUGUGUUAGGCACGCCGCCAGCGUUCAUC
rnacentral:rRNA from 1 species